rnacentral:rRNA from 1 species
GACGAACCGUGCGAACGUUGUUCGGAUUCACUGGGCUUAAAGGGCGCGUAGGCGGCUGGUCAAGCAUCGGGGUGGGGAAUGAACGCCUUCGCUCUAACCGGAAAGGAUGCCCCGCACUAUGCGAUGCUCGAGGGGGAGUAGGGGCGGACGGAACUUCCGGUGGAGCGGUGAAAUGCGUUGAUAUCGGAAGGAACGCCGGUGGCGAAAG